rnacentral:rRNA from 1 species
AGUGAACGCUGGCGGUAGGCCUAACACAUGCAAGUCGAACGGCAGCACAGUAAGAGCUUGCUCUUACGGGUGGCGAGUGGCGGACGGGUGAGGAAUACAUCGGAAUCUACUUUUUCGUGGGGGAUAACGUAGGGAAACUUACGCUAAUACCGCAUACGACCUACGGGUGAAAGCAGGGGAUCUUCGGACCUUGCGCGAUUGAAUGAGCCGAUGUCGGAUUAGCUAGUUGGCGGGGUAAAGGCCCACCAAGGCGACGAUCCGUAGCUGGUCUGAGAGGAUGAUCAGCCACACUGGAACUGAGACGCGGUCCAAACUCCUACGGGAGGCAGCAGUGGGGAAUAUUGGACAAUGGGCGCAAGCCUGAUCCAGCCAUACCGCGUGGGUGAAGAAGGCCUUCGGGUUGUAAAGCCCUUUUGUUGGGAAAGAAAAGCAGCAGGUUAAUACCCCGCUGUUCUGACGGUACCCAAAGAAUAAGCACCGGCUAACUUCGUG